rnacentral:misc_RNA from 1 species
CUUUUUGAACGGUCCUUUUGAGGCUUUGCACUCAUCUUCGGGCAUGCCUUCUUUUGGCAAGAAAAGGGUUCAAGAAUCUGAUAAUAGUUCUUGUGAUCGCCGGCAUAAGCGUAUGAUUAAGAACCGAGAAUCAGCAGCUCGAUCGAGAGCUAGAAAACAGGCUUAUACUAGUGAGCUAGAGCAAGAAAUAGCACAUCUACAGGCAG